rnacentral:siRNA from 1 species
GGAGACCCGGGUUCGAUUCCC